GUGCUUUACGGGGGUCGAAGAGCGACGAGUGGGGCUUGCGGCGCGCGGCAAGGUGCUCGGCCUAAACUGGAUCUCGAACUCGGCGAAGAACGGCGUCUAGGGUUCCCGAGACGCUGAAGAUAGCAAAAGGAAAGUGCGGGGGUGAGCACAAAGCUUUAUACGGCUCGGGAAAAUCAAAUCCCGUGGAAACUGCGAUUCGGUUUGGGAUUUGGAACGCGGGUUCGGAAGGUGUCCGGCUCGGCUGCGUCACGAAGAAGAAGGGGUUGGAAGCACUGACACGCGAGCCCGGUUUGUCGGUCACAGGAAAGGAAGGAAGGAAAGGUGGGGCGCGCGCGGCCCGAGAGUAGGAGUGGGCCUCGGCCGUUUGGGCCAUCACGCCGAGAGCAGGCGUCUCUUUCUCUUUCUCUUUUUAUUUAUUUUUUAUUUUAUUUUCCAAAGCUUUCUUUUGAAGAGGAUUUUUAAUGCAAUUAAAUUUUAGCGAAAAUAAAUUAGCACGAAAUAUAAUAUGCUGCAGCAUGAAUGCACAAUCAAGUUUACUAAACUUAUGUUGAAUUUUAAUUCCAACAAAAAUUUAUUUAUUUACUAUAUUUAAAUGCGCACAAAAAUACUUAUAUAAAUCCAAUUAAACCCUAUUAACUCAAAAGAAAUUUUUUGGGGUGUUACAUAAUCUAAGUCUAAGCACCACACUUACACCUAUACUACAACCCUCACCUAUAGCGUCCUAUAGAUUAAAGUACUCAAAAGAGUUGUGAACCAAAACAUACAUGGAUAGUAAUUGCAUAAUGAAAUAGAAGUAGAUUACCAGAGUCAUCCCAUGAGCAAGCGUGAUUAGAGCUUGAUCAUGGUGAAGUACAACCGGAGGAAGAACCGACAGGCCGGCCUCUCCUCCAAUCCUCCCUCGCUCUCCAUCUCGCUACUAUCUAGAUCUACUCUAGUUUAGAGAAGAGAGAAGAGCUCUCAUCUCCAAACACUAGCUUUUUCUCUGUCUAUGAAUAAUGAAUAGGGAUGAAGAGGUGCCUCCUCCAGGGGCCAGGGGGCCUGCUUAUAUAGCCCUUCGAAAUGAAUGUGGGCCGUCGGAUCAAACCGACCUUAAUCGCACGGUUUUCCUUGAUCCUUUAGGUCGGUGGAGCAUAAUCCGUGAGGCGGAGCCUGAUUGGUCAA
rnacentral:lncRNA from 1 species